rnacentral:rRNA from 1 species
GAUGAACGCUAGCGAUAGGCUUAACACGUGCAAGUCGAGGGGCAGCAUGGUCUUAGCUUGCUAAGACUGAUGGCGACCGGCGCACGGGUGCGUAACGCGUAUGCAACUUGCCUCACAGAGGGGGAUAACCCGUCGAAAGACGGACUAAUACCGCGUACACUUGGAGGGAGGCAUCUCCCAUCAAGGAAAAGAAAUUCGCUGUGAGAUAGGCACGCGUCCCAUUAGCUAGUUGGUGAGGUAACGGCUCACCAAGGCAACGAUGGGUAGGGGAACUGAGAGGUUGAACCCCCACACGGGUACUGAGACACGGACCAGACUCCUACGGGAGGCAGCAGUGAGGAAUAUUGGUCAAUGGGCGAGAGCCUGAACCAGCCAAGUCGCGUGAAGGAUGACUGUCUUAUGGAUUGUAAACUUCUUUUGUAGGGGAAUAAAGAACGGUACGUGUACCGUAGUGAAUGUACCCUACGAAUAAGCAUCGGCUAACUCCGUGCCAGCCGCCGCGGUAA